AUGAUUAAUGGCGCUUGGAAACCACAAUUCAUCCCGGGGAAAGAAAGUAGAUUUACCCGAAACACCGAAACAUGCGUGAGAAUUAGCACUCGGAUCAACUCCUGGGGCAGAGGAGGGGGAGCUAAUGGCAAACAGACCCCGGCUGUGCGCGGGGGGGUGGAAAUACCCCACGAAAAGCAGGGGCUGGAGAAGCCGAGAUGGAGCUGGGGUGGGAGGAGGAGAGCGGCCGGCAGAGCCGGGUCCCCCCACCCCGAGUCGGGAACAUCCUUCCCUUCCCUCUUCUGCCCCACAGCAGAGGUGGUGACGGUGGAGGAGAAGGGAAAUCUCCCAUGGGAAGGUGAAAGCUGCUGGCGGGACCCAAACUGGUCAUUCCCAAAUGUCCCAGAGGUCCCCAGGACCAGGGAGGAGCAGGAGGGGGUUUUGCACCAAAACCCAGAGAGUUCCUGCCUGCAAAACGCAGAAUUUCUAAAGAUAAAUGCUUUAGAAAAAGCCCAUUUUGGGGCUUUUUUUUUCGGGGAGGACCACUCUCACCCUGUUCCUUCCAGUGGGAACCACUGGGAUGACUGGGAUGGUGCUGGGGUGCACCACGGCAGCACCCAGUGUCAAGCCGUCGGGGUGAUGCUCCGGUUGUCCCUGCAACUGCCUUUGGGGUGCUUCAUCCCAGGGGUGCAGAAAACCUCAGAGGGGCAAAAAACCUGGUUUUCCUCUGUGGGGGUGGGAGGGAAGUGGCCACAGGAGCCCUGGUCCCUCUCGGGUGCAGGAGCCGCAGCAUCAUCCCCCCAUCAGUGGGUCUGGCCGAGCUGCAGGAACGAGACUGGACCUGUGGGUUGGAAAAUGCAUGAAAAAGGCUUCCAGGCACGAAUCCUGACCUGGAUCCAAGCCCUGCGCUCUCCUCUGCCCGGGGAGGGGGGAAAGGGAUCCCUCAAAUGGGACCAGGGACUGGUGGUGUGGAUUUAUCACCCGAGCCUGGAGAUGAAAAGGAGCUCUCUGCCUUGGUCUCUGCUCUGGACCAAGGCAGUGUCCGGCCCCGCGUGGGUCCUGUCCUGUGAGCAGUGUGGAAAUGCUGGGAAAGGGCUCCAGGAGGGUGAUUUAUCUGUGGGAUUCCGGGAAGGGCUGGGGAAGCCUCGGCGAGGUGCUGAAGCCCAGGUCAGGAGUCAGCCCUGUCUCGGUGAUAUAUUUAGAGCGGGAUAA
rnacentral:lncRNA from 1 species